rnacentral:rRNA from 1 species
AUCGCUAAUACCGCAUAACGUCCGGAUGGGACAUCCUGUCUGGACCAAAGGAGAGAUCCGCUGAGAGAUGGGCUCGCGUCCAAUUAGCUAGUUGGCGGGGUAAAGGCCCACCAAGGCGACGAUUGGUAGCCGGACUGAGAGGUUGAACGGCCACAUUGGGACUGAGACACGGCCCAGACUCCUACGGGAGGCAGCAGUGGGGAAUAUUGCACAAUGGGGGGAACCCUGAUGCAGCGACGCCGCGUGAGGGAAGAAGGUCUUCGGAUUGUAAACCUCUGUCCUCUGUGACGAUAAUGACGGUAGCAGAGGAGGAAGCCACGGCUAACUACGUGCCAGCAGCCGCGGUAAUACGUAGGUGGCGAGCGUUAUCCGGAAUUACUGGGUGUAAAGGGAGCGUAGGCGGGGGAACAAGUUGAAUGUUUAAGAUAUGGGCUCAACCCAUAUAAGCGUUCAAAACUGUUUUUCUUGAGUGAAGUAGAGGUAAGCGGAAUUCCUAGUGUAGCGGUGGAAUGCGUAAAUAUUAGGAGGAACACCAGUGGCGAAGGCGGCUUACUGGGCUUUAACUGACGCUGAGGCUCGAAAGCGUGGGUAGCAAACAGGAUUAGAUACCCUGGUAGUCCACGCUGUAAACGA